UACGGAGGGUGCGAGCGUUGUCCGGAAUCACUGGGCGUAAAGGGCGCGUAGGUGGCGCGAGUAGUCAACGGUGAAAGCCCGGGGCUCAACCCCGGGUCGGCCGUCGAUACUCUCGUGCUUGAGCACUGUAGAGGCAGGUGGAAGUCCGGGUGUAGCGGUGGAAUGCGUAGAGAUCCGGAAGAACACCGGUGGCGAAGGCGGCCUGCUGGGCAGUAGCUGACACUGAGGCGCGACAGCGUGGGGAGCAAACAGG
rnacentral:rRNA from 1 species